rnacentral:misc_RNA from 1 species
ACAGAUUACGAGAUAUCUGUCAUCCAAGGGUCUCCCAAUUGAAGCUCCAAGUCCAUGAAAACCAGAACUUUUAUUUAUACGACCUUCCCUAUCAUAUGUUUCCAGUGCUUUAACUCCAUCACGCGUCUUGAAAACAACUCCUAACAUGGUUUCGAGCCCAAGAUAAUCCGAGAGAGAUCUGCUGAGAUUAUCAUCAUCGACCUUCCCAAGCAAAGCAACAAUUCCUAUUAUGUCCUUCAUAAAUGGAAUCUGUGUAAUCUGAGUUCCACUACGCUUUUGCAGCUGGACACAGAUGGCAGCUGCAGAUUUAUCAAAA